UCCUAGGAGAUAACGAACGGUAUGAUUAGAAUUCUCAAAGGGAAUAACUAGAAACAUAAAUCGAGUACUUUUUCCUUUAGAGAAAAGGAAGUACUUGGUAGGAAUCUUGAAGAGAUAUCCAGUCCAUUUUGGUUUAAAACAUCUUAAUAGCUUAAUAAAAAGUUGACAGAGAUAAUUGAUAAAUACACAUUUAAAACAAAGAGCUUAACCUUGGAUAGCGUAAAUUAUGCUAUCACUCAAUUUAUAGAUAGUGAUAAAGCAAUGCCAAAAUCUCUAAAAUAUGAUUAAGUAGAUUACUGAUGUCCUGUCUUAACUCCCAACCUCAUCCCUUCAUGAAAACCCACUUAUCUGCCUAUUGCCACUUUUUCUUCUUCAUUACAUUGUCAUCUUGAUCACUGCAGGUUCACAGAGAUUAAAACUGAGGUGUUUGAGAGUUGUGUAAAGGGGUGUUUGACAGACUGGGCUUCUACAGUGAUCCUACAGAGUAAGAGAUCCUGAUGCUCACGACUCUGGAGGGGAGGAAGGAAUAAACCUUAGAACUCCAAGGCAAGAAUCAGAAUCUAAGGAUUGAAAAACCCCAUUUUUGUACAUUUAAUUGUUCCUUCUAUUGGAAUCACGUUAUUUCUCACAUUCAUUGCCUGUAUCAGUAGCCACUACUCACCUCCUACAAAUCAAAACCAGAAGACUGUAUUAAAGAGAUUAUGAGAAAGUGUACACACUGCCUUUUCAUGUGUAGCAUGGCACUACUGUCUUCCCCUAAAAUGGAAGGAAGAAAGGUUUCACUGGACCUUCUCGUGAAUCUUCCCUUAGGGGCCAGCAAUAUAAAUGUUCCCAGCUAUGGACUUCGGGGAAAAUGUAUCCUUUAUAACCCCACCUAAGACAGCGAUGCCAAGGGAGGAACAGAAGCACUGACUGUGGAGAUGUCAGUUUUAUUCAAGGCAAGCAUCUGCCCGGUGGUGAAGAGGUCUGCAGCCCACGCCGGAACAACUGGGACCUACGUCUGCCUCCAGCUCCUGAUUCCAGCUCCCGAUUGCAGACCUAGGAGGCACAGGGAUGGCUCAGGUCACUAGGUUCCUGCCAUCCACAUGAGAGCCUGGGAUUCAGUUCCCAGCUCCUGACUUUGGCCUGGGCCUGUUGCAGGCAUUUAGGGAGGGAACUGGUGGAUGGGAGCUCUCUCUGUCAUUCUGUGUGUCUGUCUCUCUGCCUCUCAAAUGUAUUUUUUUAAAAAAAACCUCUUACCUGAUUUUACAAGUAUUUAUCCAAGCAUAGAGUGGCAGCGUGGAGGCCCGCAGCUCCUGCUUCCUGACUGUCUCUGGCAGAAUGUGGUAAAUGGAAAGGGCGUCAUGCUUGAUUCUACAUCGUGCCAGUGCUGCAGCCAGCUUUGUCUUAAAAC